UACCGUGAGGGAAAGUUGAAAAGUACUUUGAAGAGAGAGUAAACAGUACGUGAAACCGCAUGCAGGUAAACGGGUGGCGUCAAGCUGCAAUCCUGGAGAAUUCAGCCGGCUAGUGUGUCGUGAAUGCGCCUGUGCAUCAUCAGUCGGUGUAAGAUGUGAUAGUCUACCGGGCAACGGUAGGCCGGGCCGCAAGGUUCGGUUAUGUGUACCGGGUGGAAGCCGGAGCAUGCUAUUCAUCUGUUGGACUGGCUAGCCGGUGCACUUUCUCUAUGGUGAACACCACGAUCGGUGGAAUUGCCAGUCUGCUGUAGUCAAGUCGUAUUCGAUGGGUUCUUGUAAUUCAUUGGGUGCGAUCACAGGCAAUGUCAGUACACGGCGUAGAGGUGUCUCCACAUCACUGCGUGUUAUCGGUUACUGCUUGUCAACGGGCCUGCCUAGUGGUUGUUGUAAUCGCCGCUGGGUGGCUUGGUGGACUACAGUGGUAAGAAUAACUGUGCAAGGCACCGGGGAUGUCGGCCUCAAUUGCACUCCGCAUACACAUUACAAGUGGUGUGGGGUGCCAUCGCUGCCUGCUUACUGUUGAGUCUGAUUGUCGUGUCGCCUGCACAAAGUAGGUCCGGCAGUGGCUUGAUGUAAGGUGGGUAGUUGGUGGUGCUCCGCGUGUAGAGUGUGGUGGGCCAAGUAAUCAGUGGUGCAGUGGUAGACGAGCUACCCGACCCGUCUUGAAACACGGACCAAGGAGUUCAACAUGUAUGCGAGUCAAUGGGUCCUACGAAACCCAAAGGCGCAGUGAAAGUAAAGCUUCGACAUGUUCUCGGAGUGAGGUGAGAUCCUGCCGUAUCGCAUCAGCCUAUCAGGCUAAGAGCGGUGGGCGCAUCACCGGCCCGUCCCAUGAUGUGGCCGCUGGC
rnacentral:rRNA from 1 species